UGGCGGACGGGUGAGUAAUGUCUGGGAAACUGCCUGAUGGAGGGGGAUAACUACUGGAAACGGUAGCUAAUACCGCAUAACGUCGCAAGACCAAAGAGGGGGACCUUCGGGCCUCUUGCCAUCGGAUGUGCCCAGAUGGGAUUAGCUAGUAGGUGGGGUAACGGCUCACCUAGGCGACGAUCCCUAGCUGGCUGAGAGGAUGACCAGCCACACUGGAACUGAGACACGGUCCAGACUCCUACGGGAGGCAGCAUG
rnacentral:rRNA from 1 species